CCUACGGGUGGCAGCAGUGGGGAAUAUUGCUCAAUGGGGGAAACCCUGAUGCAGCGACGCCGCGUGAAGGAAGAAGUAUUUCGGUAUGUAAACUUCUAUCAGCAGGGAAGAAAAUGACGGUACCUGACUAAGAAGCCCCGGCUAACUACGUUCCAGCAGCCGCGGUAAUACGUAGGGAGCAAGCGUUAUCCGGAUUUACUGGGUGUAAAGGGAGCGUAGGCGGUUUAGCAAGUCAGAAGUGAAAGCCCGGGGCUCAACUCCGGGACUGCUUUUGAAACUGUUGAACUAGAGUGCAGGAGAGGUAAGUGGAAUUCCUAGUGUAGCGGUGAAAUGCGUAGAUAUUAGGAGGAACACCAGUGGCGAAGGCGGCUUACUGGACUGUAAAUGACGCUGAGGCUCGAAAGCGUGGGGAGCAAACAGGAUUAGAUACCCCAGUAGUC
rnacentral:rRNA from 1 species